rnacentral:ncRNA from 2 species
CGGCGAGUGAAGCGGCAAGAGCUCAAAUUUGAAAGCUGGCUCCUUCGGGGCCCGCAUUGUAAUUUGCAGAGGAUGCUUCGGGAGCGGCCCCCAUCUAAGUGCCCUGGAACGGGCCGUCAUAGAGGGUGAGAAUCCCGUCUGGGAUGGGGUGCCCGCGCCCGUGUGAAGCUCCUUCGACGAGUCGAGUUGUUUGGGAAUGCAGCUCUAAAUGGGUGGUAAAUUUCAUCUAAAGCUAAAUACUGGCCGGAGACCGAUAGCGCACAAGUAGAGUGAUCGAAAGAUGAAAAGCACUUUGAAAAGAGAGUUAAACAGCACGUGAAAUUGUUGAAAGGGAAGCGCUUGCGACCAGACUCGCCCGCGGGGUUCAGCCGGCAUUCGUGCCGGUGUACUUCCCCACGGGCGGGCCAGCGUCGGUUUGGGCGGCCGGUCAAAGGCCCUCGGAAUGUAACGCCCCCCGGGGCGUCUUAUAGCCGAGGGUGCCAUGCGGCCAGCCCGGACCGAGGAACGCGCUUCGGCUCGGACGCUGGCAUAAUGGUCGUAAGCGACCCGUCUUGAAAACACGGACCAAGGAGUCUAACAUCUACGCGAGUGUUUCGGGUGUCAAACCCGUGCGCGCAGUGAAAGCGAACGGAGGUGGGAACCCCCCCGGGGUGCACCAUC